UGUUUCCAGGCCGUGAAGAAGGAAACAUCUGGGCAUUUUGAAUUUGCUCUUCUUACUAUCCUUCGAUGUGCCGAGAAUCCAGCCAAGUUCUUCGCGAAGGUGCUGCGCAAGGCAAUGAAAGGGCUAGGCACAAAUGACACCACACUGAUAAGGGUCGUGGUUACGCGGACCGAGAUCGACAUGCAAUAUAUCAAGAUCGAGUACCAGAAGAAAUAUAAGAAGCCGCUGAGCGCAGCGAUCCAUUCGGAGACGUCGGGCCAUUACCGAAAUUUUCUCCUUGCUCUUGUUGGGCAAUAGCCAAGUUAUGUAUCAUGGAGUCUCGAAUUGUGCUUUACUAUUGUGUGUUGCUUGUGAGAAACUAGGUUUGAUUGAGCGAUUUCACAUUGUACAUAUUUGGUGUUUGUUUGCUUACCUUCAUAAGGUUUUCAGUGUAUUUGUGUGAUUAUAGUUUUAACGGUUUAAAGCUCUUGUUAAUUAUCUAA